CUCAAGAUGCAUUAAAGAUUUAAACGUGAGACCUAAAACCAGAAAAAUCCUAGAAGAAAACCUAGGCAACACCAUUGAGGACGUAAGCAUGGGCAAAGACUUCAUGACUAAAACACCAAAAGAAAUGGCAACAAAAGCCAAAAUUGACAAAAGGUUUCCUUAAUGACAACAAAAAAGGGAGUAAUCCUACCCACUGUAAGAGUCAUGACUCUUGAUUGCAGCUGACAGAAACUCAUGACAGCCUGCUUUAGAUGAAGGGGGAGAGAAGGACUGGAAGAAUCUUGGAGUUGGGAAUGUCACACGUAAUUGAAGGAAGAACAAGAAAACUAUAGCAGCUGCUCCCAACCCCAGAACCUUUGCUGUCUUGGGACGGAUCACCGCUGCAAGAGGGGAAGUUGCUACUGUGAUGAAUUCUGCCAUGUGGCACCAGACUGCCACCCAGACCACAGUGUCCUCUGCAACCCUGGUAACUCACAUACAGGCCCGAUUCCACCUACAGCAAAGCUGGAUGCGAUGGCUGGCAGAGGCAAACCCUUUGCCUGCACUUCAGGCCAAAGCCGGGAUGUGGCCUAGAUGGUUCCUAAGGUCCCUGACAAUCCUGAGAUCUUGCAUCUUGUCUAUUUCAGGUCAAAGGUGCCUACAUGCUCCUUCUAGCUUUGUUUCCCUGAUGUUCCUUGCCACCUGCUACUCCUCUCUGAGCUA
rnacentral:lncRNA from 10 species